UACGGAGGGUGCGAGCGUUGUCCGGAUUAUUGGGUUUAAAGGGUGCGUAGGUGGCUUUUAAGUCAGUGGUGAAAUACAGCCGCUCAACGGUUGAGGUGCCAUUGAUACUGAAGAGCUUGAAACAAGUGGAGGCUGCCGGAAUGGAUGGUGUAGCGGUGAAAUGCAUAGAUAUCAUCCAGAACACCGAUUGCGAAGGCAGGUGGCUACGUUUGAUUUGACACUGAGGCACGAAAGCAUGGGGAGCAAACAGG
rnacentral:rRNA from 1 species